rnacentral:rRNA from 1 species
GAUGAACGCUGGCGGCGUGCCUAAUACAUGCAAGUCGAGCGAACAGACGAGGAGCUUGCUCCUCUGACGUUAGCGGCGGACGGGUGAGUAACACGUGGAUAACCUACCUAUAAGACUGGGAUAACUUCGGGAAACCGGAGCUAAUACCGGAUAAUAUAUUGAACCGCAUGGUUCAAUAGUGAAAGACGGUUUUGCUGUCACUUAUAGCUGGAUCCGCGCUGCAUUAGCUAGUUGGUAAGGUAACGGCUUACCAAGGCAACGAUGCGUAGCCGACCUGAGAGGGUGAUCGGCCACACUGGAACGGAGACACGGUCCAGACUCCUACGGGAGGCAGCAGUAGGGAAUCUUCCGCAAUGGGCGAAAGCUUGACGGAGCAACGCCGCGUGAGUGAUGAAGGUCUUCGGAUCGUAAAACUCUGUUAUUAGGGAAGAACAAAUGUGUAAGUAACUAUGCACGUCUUGACGGUACCUAAUCAGAAAGCCACGGCUAACUACGUG